UCACCGCUUGCGCGGGCAGUCUCAUUAGAGUCCCCAGCUUUACCUGUUGGCAACUAAUGAUAGGGGUUGCGCUCGUUACGGGACUUAACCCAACACCUCACGGCACGAGCUGACGACAGCCAUGCAGCACCUAGUUUCGUGCCCUUGCGGGAAUCCUGAUUUCUCAGGAAGUCACUAACUUUCAAGCCCAGGUAAGGUUCCUCGCGUAUCAUCGAAUUAAACCACAUGCUCCUCCGCUUGUGCGGGCCCCCGUCAAUUCCUUUGAGUUUCAAUCUUGCGACCGUACUCCCCAGGUGGAUUACUUAAUGCUUUCGCUUAGACGCGUACUGUAUAUCGCACACAUCGAGUAAUCAUCGUUUAGGGCGUGGACUAC
rnacentral:misc_RNA from 1 species